GUGAUUCCGCGUCCAUGAGCGUUAUCAAAAUUUGUGCGCGAUCGUGAACUGCAUCACUGAUCACCGUGAUAGGCGGUAGCUCACUCUACCGCAGUAUUGGUUUCUGCCGUUAUUGGUUAGCUAUAGUUAUAUUUAAUAGAUACUGAGCAGUGAGCAGUGAACAGUGAAAACUGAAGCGGUUUCGCCGUGUCGUUUUGUCCGUUUGUUGCGCUGGUAACUACUGAAUAACCGAUGCUUUGUUUUUGUUAACUAUAAAAAAAAUAAUCACUAAUAAUUUAGCUAUCAACUAUUAAGAAGGUUAGAAUGGUUAGAUGCCGUUACGCGGUUACGCCGGAUUAUGAUGCUGCUCUCUUGACUCUUUGGAAAAUGACUGGUGUUUUAAAAAUAUUUUUUUGUUUUGACUUUUAAACAUCAAUAUUCACAACAAAUUAUUAUGGCAAUGGAUAAAAAAAAUGUCCAUAAGUUAAUGAUUUCAUGAGUAGAAUGCGUGAGCCAUCUAAGUAUGUUUCCGCUCGUGAUUAAUUUAUUAGUAUACACUUGAUUGUGUACUACGAAAAUAUUGGACAUUUUUUAACUUGUGUAAGUAUGAGCAUAUAUCGUAGGUACUGUGUAUGCUAUAAGCAUCUGAUAGAAGAACAUAAGUUUAUGAUGUGGUUCUGACAUUUGCAAUAGUAAAUCCCUACUUACAUUGGAAAAUUUAAUCUAACAAUUUUAAAGUAGGUGUAUUUUUUAUGUUUUUUGAAGUUACAAAAAAUCCAUAUGGAAUUUAACAAAAUUAUUAUAUAUUUUUUUUUAAAUGUAGUGGUAUCGAGGUAAUUAUAAUAUAAUUUUAUAGUCAAAAAUAAAUUAAAGUUCAUGGAUGAACAUAUAUGAAAGUGGUUAUUGUAAUACAAAGUAUAUAACAAGUCAUGUUAAAUGGUGUAGUAAAUGUAUGAAAUAUGAGGGAUGAAGAAAUUAAUUCUGGAGAUAAAAGUAGUGUAUAAAUAGAGGUGGUAAUAAUAUUACAAUACUAAUAUUUUUAUGAAUUGCUUUACUAAAAUAUAUAUAUUAUUAGCUUCAAGUAUACAUUAUUAUACUUUUACAAUAAGUUAUAACAAUCUAAAGGUUGAAAGAUAACACAAUAUCACCAUAUUAGUAGAGUAUAAGAAAAAGUUGAAAUUAAUAUUAUAAAAAAAAUAAUAAUGGAAAUAGACACAUUAUUGGGAUAUUAAUGAAACAUAAUUAAAAUAUUUAUUUAUGAGGUGAUGCUAGGCCAUAGUAAUGAAUAAGAUUAUAAUGAUGGGGUAUUUGACAGAAAUAAGAGUUUACGCUUGAAUAAGAAUUGAAGAAUGAAGGGAAUUAGAGAACAUAUUAAUCAAUUUAGGUUGAAAUUAAAUGUGAAAGUGUUAUAGAUAAUUUGUACGAGAAUUUUGGUUGUUGGUAGUUUCUGCAUAUGGUUUAGUUUUGAAUUGAGUAUUGGAAUCUAGGAUUUUUGUGGUAGUUUUAGUUUGAAGCUUUCUCGGAUGUUGUGCAUCCCUUGUGUUUGGUGAAUAAACAGCAUGUUACGCAUCAAGACUCAGUGGCAACAAUUGUGUGUUUGCUUUUAGAAUUGGUAAUUAUGACAUUGCAUUAUGUUACAACUCUUUUAUAUGAUUUCUCAAUAAAUUACUAUAGUUUUACUUAACAAUAUGAUGUCAUGAAUGGCUUUAUUAUUAUCUUACUGAAAAACAGUGAUAGCGGACAUUAAUUUAUGUUUUUAGCAUCUUAAUUCAAUCAGAACUGUAAUAAUGGAUCAAUGUCAAUUAUUAUAGUGGACAAAUGUGAGUUUCUUUAGCUUCUUAUGAUAAUCAUGUAAAACCGUUUGGGCUGGUGUCUGGUAAUCUUUAUACAUCUAUUACAGUCACUUACUUGACGACAAAAUGUACUGAACACUUAUUGUAUAGAAAAUUGGUUACCUACUGCUUUAUAUUUUUGAAAUUUUUAAAAAAAUUAUAUAAAUAGAAUAGUGUAAAUAAAAUUAAAGAUUUUAUAUGCAAUAUUUUUUCCUGGUUCUAUUAAUUGUUUGGUUUUACCUGGCCAUCAGUGUUAAUUAAGUAUUUUAUUUAUUGCUAUAAAUUUAAGAUUCAUUUAAACUUUAGAAAAAUCAAUAAAUAUUUACAACAUUUUUAUAAAUUUGUGAUCAUACCCAAUACACUUGUGAUUUAUUUCAUUAAUGACCAUGUAUGUUGUUUAAAUAUAGGGGCUAAUUUAACACAAGUCUUAAGCAUAAUAAUCAAGGUUAUGAGUACUUCAAAAUUCUCAAGAAGACAUCAUACCCAAAUGUGUUAAAUUUUAAAAUGGGUUAAGAGCAUUUUAAGUUUUAAAAUUUUACAUAACUUUAACUCACUUUGUAAUAAAUCAAUAAGAGCCUAUGGGAUGCCCUAGAUAAUAAUAUUAUACUUAAGUUUAACAAUAGGUAAAAUUACUCUAAAAUUGAUUCGGUUGAAUACAAAUUGCCAUGUUUUACGUUUGUAAGACGGAGAUCACAAUGCUAUAUGCAGGUAUUAUGUCCUCUAAAGUUCUCAGUUUUUAAUUGUUACCUAAUUAUUUUUUCAGUUUAUUUUCCUAAUUAUUUUAUCAUAUUCUUUGUACGAUUCAUCAUUUUUUAUUCAUUGUAACUAGUAAUAAUUUACUAAUUACCUUCAGGCCUCAAUGUAAUAAAACAUGAUUUACAAAGUAAUUCUACUUCAUCUGUCAUCGUUUUACAAUUUUAUGUUGUAUAACAUUUGUUUUUGUUUUUAGACUUAAUUGACACCAUAACAAUUCUUAUGUCAGUGGACUGAAGACUACCAGAAUACAGCAGCUUAAAAAUAUAACACCGGAAGCUCUACAUUUGAAACUAAAAUAAUUAUUUAAAAAUAUGAUAGAAAUCAGAAAAGGAAAAAAAUAAGAAAAUCAUGAGUUCAUAUUUUUGUCAUAGAACAUUAUAUGAAUUACUAUUUGUAUACAACACUGAGUUACUAAUACCAUUAUAAUAUUAUUAGGAUUAAUCAUGUUAUAAGGAUUAUGUAAAAAUUUUAAUUAUUUUGAUAUGUUGAUUAAUUUUAUUAUGUAAUAUAUAUAUUUUUUUAUAGUUAGGUUUAAUUAAAGCUCAACCUAAACAUAGGGUAAUAAAUAUUAUAUGAUUUUAUAGUUAAGUAACUUAACUUUAUUUUUAAUUGAAUACCAAUAAUACUUAAGUUAUAAACUGAUCUUUUAAGUAUUAAAACAUAAUUCAACUUAGUGAGAUUAAGUUAAGUUUAUUAUCGUUAGAAUAUUUUAAGUUCAGUUAAAAUAAAUUAUCAUCUGUAUCUAAAUACAAUUUUAAGUAAAUUAUAGUGGAACCUCUACUUAAACAACUUGAAGAUUUUUUUAAAAAAAGUAAUUAAAUAGACAUUUUGUUAACUGUAAAGAAGAAAUAAUAUUUUUUUAUUCACUUAAAAAACUAAUUUUUAGUGUAUGAAAUACAUGAUAUAAAUUAUAAAGAAUAAUAUAUAAUUUGUAAAUUGUAUAAUAUUAAUAAAUUUAUUAGAAUAAAAAUAUACAUUUAAAUUAGUAUAUAAAUUUUAAAUUUCUGAAAUCCAGUUAAACAACUUUUGUAUCAUUCUGAUUAUAAAUUUGAUCACGCUUAUUUAAAUGAUUCUGAUUUACAAGUAUGUAGUUUUUAAAUUUGUCAUAGAAAAAGAACAUAAAAAUGAUUUGAUAAAUACUAAAUAGAAAUGUUUUUGAAUGAUUUUUUUUAUGGUCCCAUAAAAUAUUUUAUUCUACAGAGUUUUGUUGAAUAGAGAUUUCACUAUACCUACUUAUUUAUAAACAUAUAAUAUUUAUUAGGUAAUUUUUGUUAAAUUUCACGGACAACCUAUUUUUGAAACUUUCACAUAUUUAAUUUAAAAAUAUGAAUACUAUCUUUUUUAUAUGCAAUCUGAUUUAUAUUUAUUAUAAUUAAAUAUCUUUAAAGAAACUUAGAAGAUUGAUAAAAUAUGAUAAUCAACACAGUUUCAGUCUUUAAGAUAAAUCUUUAAAUGAUUGAACUGUUUAAUAUAAAAUAUAAAUUUUAUAUCGAGGACUAAGAAAGAAAUCUGAUAUACUGCUCAGUGCUUAUUACAAACUAUACUAUUUUUUUUUAUAUAAAUUAUUUUAUAAUGUAAAUUUAAAUUGUUGAAAUAUAACUAUUAUUAUAAUAUUAUUGUUACAGUCAGUGACAAAAUACAAGUCAGGGUAUUAGUAUUACUAUAAUAACUAAUAGUAUUGAUUAUAGAAUAGUUUAAUCCAGUGCCUUAUCCAGGAGGGGGGGGGGGCUUUUGGGCUUAAGCCCACCCCGAAAUCUUUUAUUUUAAAUAGGAUGUGACUAUAUGUGUUUUUAAAUUUUUUCCUAUUUUCCUAUAGAGUUAAGUAUGAAUGUUUAAGCCUCCCCCGAAAAUAAAUCUUGGGUAUGGCACUGGUUUAAUCUAUAAUCAAUAGUAAUAGGUUUUUUGUUUUAUUUGUGUAAACUUCUUUCCUAUAAGGAAAAGAGCAAUGUUAUUUAUUUUUGCUUUUAUACAAAUAUAUAGUACUUUUACCGUUAUGAAAUGCAAUCUUGUAAUUGGCUAACACAAUGGAUGUGAGAUAUGAGUACCAAUUUUCAAUUUUACAUAUUUAUACUUUUUAGAAUAGGAAACAACUAAAAUAAUUUUAAUUUAUUAUUCAAUUAUACUUAUGCAGUUAAUAGUUAUGCCCAAUUACUGUAAGUAAUAAAUAAUAAUAAUUUUUUUUUAAAUUUUGAAUAGCUAGGGUAACAAACUAACAUAAUAAACUAUCAGUAUUAUUACAUGAUAUGCAACACUGUUUGCAUUGGAAACUAUUAGAUUCAAAACUCUUUAGUAAUGAGUUUGAUUGGCUUAACUACAGUUUUUACGAAGAAUUCUUUAGAAAUACAAUAUACUAACCAAGGACGCGGACACUAUCAUUGUAUACUAAUUGUAAUCUUAAAAUAUUAUAUUUAAACUUGGUUAAAUCAUAAUUAUAAAAUACUUUUAUAAAAAAAAUAAAGUCAUAAAUUUUAUAUUGUUAAU